UACGUAGGGGGCAAGCGUUGUCCGGAAUCAUUGGGCGUAAAGAGCGUGUAGGCGGCUCGGUAAGUCCGCUCUGAAAGCCCGGGGCUCAACCCCGGGAGGCGGGCGGAUACUGUCGGGCUAGAGUCCGGAAGAGGCGAGUGGAAUUCCUGGUGUAGCGGUGAAAUGCGUAGAUAUCUGGAGGAACACCGGUGGCGAAGGCGGCAUCCUGGACCAAUUCUGACGCUGAGGAGCGAAAGCCAGGGGAGCAAACGGG
rnacentral:rRNA from 1 species